rnacentral:rRNA from 1 species
AUUGAACGCUGGCGGCAUGCCUUACACAUGCAAGUCGAACGGCAGCGGGGGAGAAGCUUGCUUUUCCUGCCGGCGAGUGGCGAACGGGUGAGUAAUACAUCGGAACGUGCCCUGUAGUGGGGAAUAACUAGUCGAAAGAUUAGCUAAUACCGCAUACGACCUGAGGGUGAAAGUGGGGGACCGCAAGGCCUCAUGCUAUAGGAGCGGCCGAUGUCUGAUUAGCUAGUUGGUGGGGUAAAGGCCUACCAAGGCGACGAUCAGUAGCUGGUCUGAGAGGACGAUCAGCCACACUGGGACUGAGAAACGGCCCAGACUCCUACGGGAGGCAGCAGUGGGGAAUUUUGGACAAUGGGCGAAAGCCUGAUUCAGCAAUGCCGCGUGUGUGAAGAAGGCCUUCGGGUUGUAAAGCACUUUUGUCCGGAAAGAAAUGGCUCUGGUUAAUACCUGGGGUCGAUGACGGUACCGGAAGAAUAAGGACCGGCUAACUACGUGCCAGCAGCCGCCGUAA